GACAGAGGGUGCAAACGUUGUUCGGAAUUACUGGGCGUAAAGCGAGUGUAGGCGGUUUGGUAAGUCGGAUGUGAAAGCCCCGGGCUCAACCCGGGAAGUGCACUCGAUACUGCCAAGCUAGAGUAUCGGAGAGGUUGGUGGAAUUCUCGGUGUAGAGGUGAAAUUCGUAGAUAUCGAGAGGAACACCGGUGGCGAAGGCGGCCAACUGGACGAAUACUGACGCUGAGACUCGAAAGCGUGGGGAGCAAACAGG
rnacentral:rRNA from 2 species